rnacentral:lncRNA from 1 species
GAAAAUGUUUAAUGUUUGUUAACAGAAGUGUGUAAUAUGUAAGCUGUCUAACUCUUGAUUUAUUGUCAGGAUUUCCUAUAAAAGGAAAUAGUGUGUUUUCUUUAAGAAACCCUUUUCUAAACAUGUUCUCGUAACACACAGAACGGUGGAAUCCUACCAUACAGCAUGUCUCCUUACACUGACAUGGACUUAAGAAACCAGAACCAAAUAGAUGCCAGGAGGAGGAGUCGGGUUUGGACGAGCAGAAUCCCCGAGAUCUAAGGGAGAGUGGACAAGGCGUGCCUUGUGGAUCCGACUGAGAAGCAGCAGGGGUGGACCACGCCGUUCACACAGACACGUAUGAAGGAGACCACGAACAGCAGAGCUGCGCCUUCUCGGAAACCCCUCUGUGCAGAGAGCCCUGUCCCAAGCCCAGCAACCUGGGCCGGUCCCAGUGAACCGUGUGACCAGGUUCCCACAGUGGCACCAGGGAACCAAGCUUUGGAGUUUUGGUUUGGAGCUCCCUCUCGUGGACACAGUGACUAUCCACGGGGGCAAGGUUGGCAGGGCUUCUCAAGGUGUGGACAGGGCUCAGGACCAGCAGGGGUGGAAAUGAGUGCAGUGACACCCAGGGGUCGGUGGCUGUGUUGAAAAUGUGACUUCCCGAGUUCAUGCUACUGUCCAGUGAAGGAUGGACACUACCAUUUCCCAAAUGACUGGUGU